ACAUCCAAUAUGGUGGAUCGAGUGGACAAAAUAAUAAUGACAUUACAUUGUUCAGUGACUCUUUCAAAUAGCUGUUCAAAUAAUGAGUACUAUCUUAUAAAAUUUAUGGAUUGAUCAGAUGCGUUUGCUCAACAACCGUUGCAAAUGUUUUAAGGCGGGUGAUGCUAGCGGGUCCAGUUGAGGAAAAGCCUCAUAGCAAGAAGAAGGGCUAUAAAAAGAAGGACGAUGACUCUGUCGACUCCCCCAGGCCUCUAGGCAUGCCCCCUUCAUACCCCAUAUCAGAUUUUUUGAUGACUGCAUCGUCCAUGACCAUGAUGUUGAUUCAAAUGGCCUAGAACCUGACCUGAAACAGCAAAACGGCAUGGUUUAUAUAAACACACAUAUAUUUUAAUGUUUUAUAUUAAGACAUUUUUAAUAGACAUGAACCAACCUGUCAUAUAUUGUCAUUAGUGACAGGUCACACUGUCCUCAGUUGUGGGUCACACUGUCCUCAGUGAACGGUUGACAAAAAAUAGAAAUCAGUUUUUGUUGGUCCUGCAUCCCUUUUCACAAAGAUUUAGAGUCUGAAUUUGAGACUUCAACACAAAUAAUUAAAGUUCGAGACAUUUUCAGCUAGAAUAUUAUUUUACUCUACCACGUCAUGUUAGUUUUUGUCAACACUAUGAUGGACGUGAUGUUUUAUGAUAAUAAUAUAACAAUUUAUACGCUAUAUUGUUCUGAAUAUGUAUGCACAUGAUUAAGUUGUGAUAUAGUUCAUGAUUUAAAAUUAUAAUGCCUUCAGAUAGUUCAAUGUAUGCGGAAAAGGUACGGUGUCUGGGCAAAGGUGACCCCAGUGGUAUUCGUCACUGCUGUGUGUAAAAAAAAACUCCUAGCAAAGGAUUUCAUCAAAGCUCUUGUUAUUUUUGUAUGUAUUUAAUAGCAGUGGGUGAAGCAUUAAGGAUAUGUGUGUCAUAUUCACCCUUGUAUGAAUUUGUGAUAAGAUGCGUUCCUACAUUGAACCUGUUCAGGAAAUGAUACAAGUUCGCUACACUGAUGUUGCAGCUUGGGAAAAGCCGCUUGACUACAUUGCCCAGCUCAGGCAGUCUGCAAUACUCAAAGAAGUGAGGACUUUGAGUUCAUGAUGGCUGCAGUGUCCAUGACUAAGAUGUUGAACCAGAUGGCCUAGAUCCUGAACUGACAGAUGGAGCUUCAAAACAACAUCGAUCCAGUACUGAUGAACACAUUGACAGUGACUGUGUUGCUGCACCAGAUAAGCAAGAACCUGAACUAGAACAAAAUGGAGAUUGCAACAUUAAGCAAGUCUCCAGUGACAGAAGGCCAUGGACUGAAGGGGAAAAGAAGAUUGUGUUGUUUGGGAUACCUACUUCCAGCGACCUUUCUGGAAAACACCAGUGUUCAGAGCGUAUACGGCAUACGUUAAACAGCAUGGGGCAAGUUGCCAUUUUCAGCCCAGGCAGCCUUCCGGCACAUUGUUAGAGGCCAGAUCAUUAGAGCUGUGAUCGAGAAUCAUGAGGUAGCUGCUGUGCCAAGAUUUGGGUUCAGAUCUGACAAGCCGCCAAUAGUUUGCCUUUAAAGAGUGCAGCAUAUCAUUCCCUCAAGGUUCAGUGGUUGUGGAAAGAACAGGGACGCGAUCUUGCUUGAACUGGGACUCGCCCUUAAAGUGACUCGAUAGGAAGCACCCUAGUCAGUGCCAUUGCCUAUGAAAAGGCUAGUUGCCCUGGAGAUUGGAACCUCUGACCCACACGAAUUAUUGAUCCAGAGCAGUUCUUAAGGCGAGCCUUUAUGAAUUCAGGUGCAGUGCUCGUGGAAUGUGCAAGGAGUUGACCUUGCUGGAACCGAGUCACUGCAAGCGCCCAUGAAAAGGCUAGAGGCCCCGGAGAUGGGAACCACUCACUCACAUGAGUUCCCCAUCUAGAGCAGCACUAAAGGCGACCUCAUUAAGGCCAACUUUCUGAAAUACAUCAGUGUGCAGAGCUUAAACGUCAAGUUGAAGACUUACGAUUCAGCUCAUGGAUAGUGAUGUAACAUUUAAACGCAAUCGUAUUAUGAGUGAAAAAAUCAAAACAAAAACAAAAUAUGUUGUUGCCUUAUGCCAGUGUGAUGGCACACUGGUCGCUUAACUAAAUGCUACACUAAAGUGCUUCUUUUCAAGGAUGAGGCUUUGUUGACUGCUUUAAUGAAUAUACAAUAUAAAAUGACCUGCACAACUAUGAAAUUAUGUGCAUUCAAUAUUUUGUACAACUACUGCUGGCCUGAUUAAAAUAACACAAUAUGAAGCUUCAUAACUAAAUGUGUGCACAAAAAGUAUGUACCGUUUCUGAUCAGUAACUUCUUUGAGUAGUUUAU